GCACAAUCUGAAGCUCGGGUACUGAUCAUCCCGGUUGGUGAUAGCUAAUGGGAAGAGAUGUCAUUUGACGGUCGAGGUCACCAUAGACAGGUUAAUCAAGUCUUAGGUAACCUCUAUCGUCUACAUAAUCCAGGAAUUGUCACCGACCCGAAAGGUGUGGUGGUUCCUUGCACUAGCUGGUCGCACUUUGCACUAGCUCCACAUGCGACAUAUGGAACCGCUCAAGGCGCCGUCAAGCACGACUUUUGGAGAUGCUAUCGUGUGGAACCUGAGGCUCAAGAGCAUGCAGA